rnacentral:misc_RNA from 1 species
AAAAAGCAAAACAAACAGAAGCGCACCAUCAACCACGCACUGACGCACUUUUUUUUUGCGUGGCGUGCUGUUCUUUCUCCAGCCCCUUGCUCUCCAUCGCACCUCGCUCCCGUACCCUUUUUGCGACGUCCCUCAUGACCUCUGUGUCGUCCUCUGCCACUGCUGUGGCAGAGCAGCAGGCCAUGCCCUCGGCCGACACCAUUCAGCAGCUCCAGGAGGCUUUCUCUUUUGUGCGUCACGAACGCGAAGACGUUCGCAAGAUGGCGAUUCGCGGCAUCGCCGCGCACAGCAAGGAGAACCGCGAUCUCUGGCUCUUUCUAGCAUCCCCGCAGUACGGCCGCAGCUGCAUUGACUCCCUCCUCCAGUACCUGCACGCAGGCGGCAAGCCCGUGCUGGGCGACAUCCUGACAAUCCUUGUCAACUGCUCAGCCGAUGGCAGCUGCGCCGAGAUGCUGGUGCAGCGCAAGGUGGUGCGCAAGGCAAUGCGGCUGCUGGAUGGGAUGGAGCGGAGCGAUCAGCCGGAGCCGUACGUGCGCAGCGUGCAGGAGCUGACGCUGAUGCUGCUGAACAACCUCACGUCCAGCCACGUGACCGCCAUCGACGACUUUUUGCAAAGGGACGACGAGGACAUGCGCGGCUUCUACCUCGGAAAGCUGCAGGUGUACUACGAGCGCUUUCUCAGCGCCAUGGAGGCGGAGGCAGCGAAGAAGGCGGAGGACGAGGAGGCGGCGGCGCAAGCCGGUGAUAACUCGGCGAAGCCAAAGCCGGCCUCGUCGCUAGCCUCGUCGCACCGCGACUUGAGUCGGUGGAUCCUCCACAUCCUCCUGAACCUCACCCGCACGCUCGACGGCCAGGAGCUGCUGCUCGAGGACGAAGACUGGCGCGGGACCUUAAGCAGCUCGCUUUCGUCGCCGAACCCGCGCCAUCGCUCUCUCGCUGCACAGUGCUACCGCAACUGCGGUUGCUCUCCCAAGCCGCUCUACGGCUUAAUACUGAAGAGUGACGCGCUUGUGACGGCGGUGGACCGGCUUAAUUGCAAGGAGCCGAUCGAGGAUAUUCAGAGGAGCCUAGCAGAGUUCAUUGCCAGCAUGCUCGAGUCCGAGGAUGGCAUGGCGCGGCUGGAGAGCGUGAACGCGAAGAGGGUGCUCUCGGAGGCACUCGGUGCUUCCCAGGCCGCGCACGCCGCGAAGGCGGCGGCCACAGCAGCCAGCUGCGUCGAGAUGGCUGAGGAUGACGGCGUACCGGUCGCCGCGACGGCGACGGUCACGCUAGCCCCCAGCGUCAUCGAGUUCCUCCAGCAGAGCGUGUUGCCCUACCUGGAAGACAUCGUGGACGCCUACAUUGCCCCUGGAAGCGACGAACUCGAUUGAGCUGACGGCCGUGUGCUAGUCGUAUCCUCGUUCACGGGAGGGGCGGGGUGCGCGCUGGUGGACGAUCCGGUGGUUGUUUGGCUCGAUUACGUUUAAGCAAGGUGGACGCUAACGCUGCAGAUAACACCGAAAAGGAGAGAAAGGAUGAUGUCGCCCAUGCGCAGCAGUAGGGCAACGGUAACAAACCUAUUCAAACACACAACGCAACAGUUGACUCAGCCGCGUUCGCGUCUAAAAGAAGUCGUUGCUGAUGGUGCUGCUGCGUCGCGAGCCACCCCAUCAAUCCCGCGCCAACUCCUCACAGCAGGCAUCGCAAAACACGCACAUGCGCAAUCAACUUAGAUACGUGUCUUGCGUUUAUGAGCAAGAAAAAGAGAGGAGAACAUGAAAAAGAGCUUUCAUCACAUCCUCCAUCUUCCUCCUACCCCUAACGGCUUACUACGACGGUGCUCUCGGCAUGUGUCUCUUUCUCCGUCCUCACCAUCACACACACCCUCGCCCCCUCCCUCCCCCGCUCUGGACUCCCCAAACACAUGCAG